rnacentral:rRNA from 2 species
UCCUGUACCACCUCCCCGCCGUUUGAGUAAUGGGGGGACGCAGUAGGAUAGGGUAAGCGCGCUGCUGGAUAUGCGCGUUCAAGCAGUUAGGCUGAUGAGUAGGCAAAUCCGCUCAUCAUAAAGGCUGAGCUGUGAUGACGAGGGAAUUAUAGUACCGAAGUUCCUGAUUCCACACUGCCAAGAAAAGCCUCUAGCGAGGCGGGAGGUGCCCGUACCGCAAACCGACACAGGUAGGCGAGGAGAGAAUCCUAAGGUGAUCGAGAGAACUCUCGUUAAGGAACUCGGCAAAAUGACCCCGUAACUUCGGGAGAAGGGGUGCUCUGGUAGGGUGUAUAGCCCGAGAGAGCCGCAGUGAAUAGGCCCAGGCGACUGUUUAGCAAAAACACAGGUCUCUGCGAAGCCGCAAGGCGAAGUAUAGGGGCUGACGCCUGCCCGGUGCUGGAAGGUUAAGAGGAGGGGUUAUCCUUUGGGAGAAGCUCUGAAUCGAAGCCCCAGUAAACGGCGGCCGUAACUAUAACGGUCCUAAGGUAGCGAAAUUCCUUGUCGGGUAAGUUCCGACCCGCACGAAAGGCGUAACGAUCUGGGCACUGUCUCAACGAGAGACUCGGUGAAAUUAUAGUACCUGUGAAGAUGCAGGUUACCCGCGACAGGACGGAAAGACCCCGUGGAGCUUUACUGUAGCCUGAUAUUGAAUUUUGGUACAGCUUGUACAGGAUAGGUAGGAGCCUGAGAAGCCGGAGCGCUAGCUUCGGUGGAGGCGUCGGUGGGAUACUACCCUGGCUGUAUUGAAAUUCUAACCCGCGGCCCUGAUCGGGCCGGGAGACAGUGUCAGGUGGGCAGUUUGACUGGGGCGGUCGCCUCCUAAAAUGUAACGGAGGCGCCCAAAGGUUCCCUCAGAAUGGUUGGAAAUCAUUCGUAGAGUGUAAAGGCACAAGGGAGCUUGACUGCGAGACCUACAAGUCGAGCAGGGACGAAAGUCGGGCUUAGUGAUCCGGUGGUUCCGCAUGGAAGGGCCAUCGCUCAACGGAUAAAAGCUACCCCGGGGAUAACAGGCUUAUCUCCCCCAAGAGUCCACAUCGACGGGGAGGUUUGGCACCUCGAUGUCGGCUCAUCGCAUCCUGGGGCUGUAGUCGGUCCCAAGGGUUGGGCUGUUCGCCCAUUAAAGCGGUACGCGAGCUGGGUUCAGAACGUCGUGAGACAGUUCGGUCCCUAUCCGUCGUGGGCGUAGGAAAUUUGAGAGGAGCUGUCCUUAGUACGAGAGGACCGGGAUGGACACACCGCUGGUGUACCAGUUGUCUUGCCAAAGGCAUCGCUGGGUAGCUAUGUGUGGACGGGAUAAGUGCUGAAAGCAUCUAAGCAUGAAGCCCCCCUCAAGAUGAGAUUUCCCAUAGCG